rnacentral:misc_RNA from 1 species
GCAAACUUGGUCAUUUAGAGGAAGUAAAAGUCGUAACAAGGUUUCCGUAGGUGAACCUGCGGAAGGAUCAUUAUCGAGAUCGAAGGUCUGGGGAGGGGGAAAGGAGGGAGGUUCGAUGGCCCCGGGCUGUCGCUAGGCCUCGUCCACGUGCACGUCUUUCGUCGUCGCUCUCCCGAAUCGCACCCUCUCGAGGCUUUGACCUUCUUGACACCUGUGUGCACUCGCUGUAGGUCCCUCGGGAUCUAUGUCUUACUUCGAACUCGCAUGUCUACAGAACGGCAUCGAUCGCGUCAGCGACCGAGAAAACGAUGGUAGUACAACUUUCAGCGAUGGAUCUCUUGGCUCUCGCAUCGAUGAAGAACGCAGC